AGAUCAUAAGAACUUAGAUUAGUGAGAGCAAAAUAGAAUUAAAAAUUUGAUUGAUUAUCUUAAAAUAAUUAUAGAUGCUUAAAAUCAAUUAAAUUAUUACACAAUAUCUAAGUUUUCCUUAUGGAUAUAAAUUAGGACCUUACGACUGAAGAAUAAAAGAUGGACAUAAAUUAAAUUUUGAGGAAGUCAUUGAGGUUAAAUAACUGAUAUAGGAGAAAAUAUAUAUUUUGAGUAAUAUAGAUUGGUUGUAUUAUGUUGUGUUAGCAUUGGAUUUAUUUUGGGAAUCUAAUAUGAUGCGAUAGGGAUCUUGAAUUUAUUGAAAGUUAUUUUGGAUUAGAAGACUAUAGUUAUUUUAUUGAUAAAGAGAAUAGAAAAAUGGUAAUUAAAUGAUUUCUCAAAGAUAUUUUGAAUAAGGAAGAUUCUAUGAUCAUGGCAAGAUCUAAGUAAUGGAAGGGCAUUUUAUUGAUAGCUAUCAAGAAUAAUUUCUUUUAUCUAAUGUUUUGAGUGGAUUUUCUAAAAUUGAUUCACCUCUCUAAUUACGAUGCUCUUGCAACUUACAAGACAUGAUGAAUAACUUUGAGGUUGAUUUUUUCCAAAGAAAG
rnacentral:lncRNA from 1 species